AGUGGACCAAAAGAGACGUGCUGGGCGAAGAAAAAAGUCAUGGCUCCGGAAUAUCCAGGAGUGACCCGGUAUUGCCUCCUUCGAACAGCUGUUCCGGCUGGCUGCUGACAGAAAUGAAAACAGGAAGCUAACGACCAACCUUCAGGAUUGAAGAGGCACUGGAAGAAGAAGAAGAAGACGGACAUCUGGAGUCCACACGGUUGGGCAAACAUUCUCAACCCCUCAUGGUGUGGAGCCAUUACUGGUGGACAUAGGCAUCACAACGUGAAUGCUUCCUCGGACUAGAGAUUGAAGUCCCAAUUGCAUGGUGUGGUAGCUGUCCCAACUUUCAAAAAGAAAUGACUGUGUUUAAUUUUUACUAAAAGCGAAGGAUUACUAGUAUUAGUAGAAUUAGUAACAUUAUUCAAUAAUUCUUUUAUGAAAAAUUGUUUUGAAUAGAAGUGGAUAAAAUCAUAACGUUGUAAUAUCUAUGGGUCUCAGCAGCCAUAUAGAACAUAAUGGUCCAUGAGGUCGUCCACAAUUUUAGUCUUAUACAAUCUCUUAAAAUGAAAGUGUGUUAACGUCUGUUUUUUUUGUUUUGUUGUGAUUAAAUUACUAUUCGAAUUACUUCUUCAACUGAUUCCUUAGAAACUUCCCACUCCUUUUGCAUCUGCGCCUCUUCGAGCUUCAUUGCAAAUUAUAUAUGUAUAUAUUCUAGAGGUUCACAAGAAAAAAAGAAAUCGUUUGUCUAAAUUAACUUUAAAAAUUAACAAUUAAUUUGUGUU